GAACGCACCUUGCGCCCUUUGGUAUUCCGAGGGGCACACCCGUUUGAGUGUCGUGACAUUCUCAAAACCUUCUUGGUUUCUUGACCGGGAAGGCUUUGGACUUUGGAGGCUUUUGCUGGCCUUUCUUUGUUGAAGCCAGCUCCUCUGAAAUGAAUUAGUGGGGUCUGCUUUGCUGAUCCUUGACGUGAUAAGAUAUUUUCUACGUCUUGGGUUUCGCACUGUUCCUGCUUCUAACCGUCUCAUAGAAGACAAUGGUCAAGUGAUUGCCACUUGACCCACAAACCUUGACCUCAAAUCGGGUGAGACUACCCGCUGAACUUAAG
rnacentral:misc_RNA from 1 species